CACUCAUGUUUCUCAGGCAGCUCAGCUUGAGACAUCUUGCCUGACUUUAAAGAGGUGCUGAAUAGGGCUGUGCGAAGCUUCGGGAGCUGAUUUGAUUUGGAGGAGAUUCAGCCCAAUUCGGUGGCCAAAUCUCUGAAUCCGAAUCGAAUCAGGGGACCAAUUAAAAAGUCCGAAUUGAUUCAAAGCUCUCCGAAUCUUCAGCAAAGAUUCGGAGGGCUGUGAUGAUUCAGGUAGUCCCCAGUCCCCAGUAGCUGCAGCCACUCCGAGCUGCAGAAAAAAAUAUGCAAGGCUUGUAGUCCCCCUGCUGGCACUUGAAGACCUCUAAAUCUUUGACAGAAGCAGUCUCAUCUCUCUUGACCCAUGAUCUCCAACCAGUUGCUUUCAGGCAACAUAUUGCCUAAGAGAUUUUCCAGUGCUGCUGAUGGAUGCAAGGAAUUUUGGUUUCUAAAGGUACCUGUUUCUUCACAUCAAUGGGGAGAGUUAAGUAUGGCUGCACCACUUGCAGCAUGCUGCUUUCUCUGUAGUGUUGCCUGUAGGUCAGAUUAAGAGCCACUGCUUCAGGAGAAAUAUUCUCUAUGGCAUCCCCAUCUCCCACAGUGGAAGAUUUUCUUUUUCCUAAUGACAGGGACCUACAGUUGACACAGCCAGGCAUCUUGUGCCAUGCUUGUUUUGUUUUAUAAAGCACUUGGUGUAUGGUAGAAGCAAUUUGUGCCACUGCGUGCUUUCUGUUAUUUGUCAUCAUGCUUGCCUUGAUGGGUGAUAGAUCUUUCUCAGACACACUAGAUUAUGUACAUGGAGUGGACUGCAGGUGAUGGAUUACUAAAUUAAACUACAAUGGGUGAAAUGAGUGGACUGAUCGCUCUGUUCUGAAUCAGUAAUUGGGAUUAUAUUAGAUCAGUGUACCUUGGAUAUUAUUCCACAGGAUUUUAUUUGGGUAAGAAUCAAGUUGUUGGGUUCGGUUGAUGGGAUGAAAAUGUUCAGAAUAGGUGGCCUCAUUUCAUUUUAACUACACUGAUAUAUUUGAUGGCUUGAAUUACUUUUAAGCAGAGUUUUUACUGAGCUUUGUAAUAAUAAUUAUAUCUAACUGUAAUCACCCUCUCUGGUUUAUGCAAAAAAAGUUCAUUAUAUGACACGGAGAUGAAGUGUCUCAUUUUCCCCUGUUUUAAUUUAGUAAAUGGUGAUUACAGAGGUAGGUGCUUUGCAAAACCCAAUGAGCCUUGAUAUGCUAGGUAGAUUUUUAUCAAGCCAUCUUUACUAAAACCUGACUGCAUGUAGCCAAGUAAGAGGGUGUCUCCAAACCCUCGCCUGCUGGUAGUGUUAUUCUCUUGAUUAUCCUCAGGCAUGUAGAGCACUCUUCUGUUCUAGGAGGACAGUGUGGAUGGCAGUAGCAUCACAUGUGAUGAUAGCUCUUUUGUCCUUAAUCACAAAUGUUGAGCUGCACCAUAAGCCCCAGGAGGAAAAGAAAUUCAUUAGAUUUCAGCUUUUAGUUACUGAAUGCUAAGUCUGUCUCUCUUUCCUCUCUCUCUUCCUGCAGGAAAUGCAGGAGCAACCAAUGUUUAAGGGGGAAAUAUUAUAUUUCAAAAUCCCCACAUAAGCUGAAUCUUCUAUUCUGCACGAAACAAGAGUCAAAAGCCACCACAGAGUAGAGCGACGUUCAUAGCAUUUAAUUUCCAACCACUGGUCAAAGACAAAAUAUUAGAGGCCUCUUUCCUAACUCACCGAAAUACAAAUUAUGAGGCUGGUUUGUAGCAGGAGGGUGGGGAAAGGCCAUCACAAUUGGGAAUGUGAAUCAAGUUUAAGCGGUUGUGACUGAAGUUAUCCUUUUAAAGUGAAAGCUUUUUUCUUAUUUUCAAAUACGUUACACAGCCGAUUCAGAAGGACAAGAACAAAUUUUGACGGGAAAUCAGGAAGAGUUAAGAGAGAGGAAGAGAGGAUUAGAGCCUGAGGCUGACUUAAACUGUGAAACCCCUCAAGGUGAACUCAAGGAUAGCUCUUUUCACUCAUUAGAGAAAAGGCAAGUCAGAAGAAGCCUUGUCUUUUUACCAUAUGUUGACAUUUGCUGAGCAUUUUUUUUGCAUUUUUUUGCAUUUUAUCAUCGAAAUUGGAAUACAUUUUUAUAGAAAAAUCUUUACAGUUACAAGGAGGGUUUAACACAGACACUUUCCCCUCUUUCUUGCUUCUGUGGAUUCUUUUCCGGGGUUUGCCGGUGGAAAUGGGCCAAGGGGCAAGACCCACAAUGGCAUAAAUCAGCUUCAUUAGGGUUACACUGAGCUUCGACUCCCUAAAAAAUUGCCAUGAAGGAUGGUCUUGUCGAAGAGGUGUAGGACUGAUCUGUAGGGGCAUGGCUUCUUUCUUGCUCUUCCAUAGGUUCUUUAGAUAAGUCAUUUAAUUUUCUCCAUGUCCCAGAUCCCUACUGAUAUAACACAUGUAAUUAGGAACCCCUUGAAAAUGUAGAGACAUUAAAUGCAAAAUAAAAUUGAAUGGAAGCAGAUACACUGUUGAUUUCUGUUCUUCCACCAUUUAUCUCUUUUUAGACUUCUUUCAUCUUCUUCCCUACAUGUAACUGUUCUUUCCUUCAUUAUCUUUUCUAAAACAUUACCUACAAAUAAAGUCAUUUACUCUUUUCCAGUCAUGGGGUACUAUCUCUGAGUUGACAUGGUAGUCCUGAUAUUUGUUUGGAAAAUCUACAGUACUGUGUUUCUACAUUAGAUUUAUCAAGGGCAGCUGGAUAGGAAAUGCUGCUUGUGCGUGUGCGUGUGAGUGGGCAUGUGAUGUGCAUGUGCUCGUGCUCGUGCUCGUGUUUGUGUUUGUGCUUGUUAGAGUCUGGUCUCUGGAAGAACAAACUAGACAAGGCCAUUAUUGAAAAAGUUAGCACAUCUGGUUUGGAACAGGAAGGAUAUACUAAUAUUCCCCUAUUCCAUUGUAUAUACCAUACCUCUGCAUCCUUCCUAAAUGCUUAAGAACUGGCCCAGUUUAAAAGACCUGCUAAGACAGCAUCUCAGAUUUGUGUUUCAUACUGAGAGUAGAGAGCCUGCAGCAUUCAGCUCAAUAAUGGCUUAAAACAGCCAAACUGCAGCCCACUGAAGCUAUUAGCUAUCUGCCCAGACCUAAUCUCUUCAUAUUUGUUUUUCUGUUGCUGUAGUUUUGUUUUUCCCCCCUUCCCUUGUCUCCCCUUCCUUCUCUCCCUGGGAAAGCCGAAUCUCAUCUGUCUGCAGUUAACGAAAACCGAAGUAACUGGACUCACUGCUGGAAGAGAAGAAAUAUGUGAUGUUAACAGUUCAUUGAGCUGUGAGAUGAACAAGCUGGGUGUUGAAAAGAAAAUCCAAGCUAAGAGUACAUUUCCAGUGUUAAUAAAGCUUUUUCCCUUUGUUGUGUAUUUCCGAACACUGAUUCUAGGAUGGUUGUCAUCCGUUUUCUUCUGGAAUUAGACAAUCAGACAAAUUUAAAACACCUCAGACUCAUUUGUCCUUGUUAACUGAUAACUCUGUCUGCAACACCAGGAGAUCUCCAGUUCCUCCUCCGUCCUUUGCUAAAACCCUGUUUUAGCAGAAGAAGAAAAAAAAGCUUUCACAACUGUCAUGGCCCUCUGUAAUAUGAUAAACUGUCCCUUGUAAAGGAGUUUGGACUGUAUCCCACCUUCUC